AUUGAACGCUGGCGGCAGGCUUAACACAUGCAAGUCGAGCGGAGCGAGGGUGCUUGCACCUUAGCUUAGCGGCGGACGGGUGAGUAAUGCUUAGGAAUCUGCCUAUUAGUGGGGGACAACAUUCCGAAAGGGAUGCUAAUACCGCAUACGCCCUACGGGGGAAAGCAGGGGAUCUUCGGACCUUGCGCUAAUAGAUGAGCCUAAGUCGGAUUAGCUAGUUGGUGGGGUAAAGGCCUACCAAGGCGACGAUCUGUAGCGGGUCUGAGAGGAUGAUCCGCCACACUGGGACUGAGACACGGCCCAGACUCCUACGGGAGGCAGCAGUGGGGAAUAUUGGACAAUGGGGGGAACCCUGAUCCAGCCCUGCCGCGUGUGUGAAGAAGGCCUUUUGGUUGUAAAG
rnacentral:rRNA from 1 species